AGGGAUUGAGACCAAUAAAUUCAACACCUCCGGCUCAUAACCGGAGGAUCGCAAGUUCGAGUCUUGCAGCCCCUACCA
rnacentral:tRNA from 1 species